rnacentral:tRNA from 1 species
GGCGAAUUAGCUCAGUCGGUUAGAGCAACGGAAUCAUAAUCCGCAGGUCCGGGGUUCGAGUCCCCGAUUCGCUA